rnacentral:rRNA from 1 species
AUGACAAAGCAAAAAAGGAAGGCAGGUUUUAGCAAUACGCUUUCCCAAGUAUUCCUGCCUAUAAAUAGUGCGCCUCUCCUCUACUUUGAGAGAGAGUGCGAUCCCCUUGAGGAUUUAGGGUUUCCCCUUCCCCCGCCGCCACUUGGUGAGAGUGAAAAGAGAGAGAUGGUGAAUAGGGGGCCUAGUGGAUAUCGGGGGGUGGGGGGAGGAAGAUUUAAUAGAGAAGGGAGAGACAGUUUCCGGUAUAGAAGAAAGGAAGAGGAACUAGACAGAUUCAGAGAAAUCUACCCUAACAAUGAGAGAAGAGGUGGAAGAUUUGGAUACAGAGAGGAUUCAGGGAAAUCUGAUCAGCAGGUGGAGGAAGAGAAGAGAGGGAUGGCAGAUCUGAAGUUACCUUUGAGCUCCAAGGAAGAAACUGUGAAGAGGUUGGAAGAGGAUCAGAGGGUUAGAGAUCUCAAGGGCAAAGAGGAUGUUGCGGUGCUUGCUCCCACCUUCGAUCUGAUCCAACAACAGCAGUGGUUUCGGGCCUUGAUGGCACAGAUGGCCCAACAAAAGAUGGAAAUCUUGUCGGGGGGAGGAAAUGUUGUCCCUCCUGGAAGCAGUAGAAGUAAUAUGUCUGAUGAGACUAAGAAAGAGCUUGCUAGAGGGAAAGUUACCAUGGAAAAAAGUGAAGCUGACAUGGGUAUGGGGAAUAAGCAAGGGAAGAAGGGAUGGACUCAGAGCAACAAGUUUGGUCAGAGGGAGAGCUUGGAUCAAAACAAAGCUGGAGGUAAUUUCAGAGUGUUGUGCAACAAAUGCAAAGACACCAGGCAUCUGACCAGAGACUGCAAGUUACCCAAUUGUAUCAUCUGUGGCAAGAACUCUCACAUUACUGAGGAGUGUGCAUGGCUGAAGCAAAUCAAGCCAACCCCCAAGUUUAUUGGAUAUGCUGCCAGAGGCUUAGGUGUGUUGCUGGUGCAGAACUCAAAAGAGGUAGUCAAUAGUGAACAGACUAACCCUAUGGCCACUGUGAACAUACUCUUUUGGGGAGAUCAAUGA